rnacentral:rRNA from 1 species
UACGGAGGAUGCGAGCGUUAUCCGGAUUUAUUGGGUUUAAAGGGUGCGUAGGCGGACUGUCAAGUCAGCGGUAAAAUUGAGAGGCUCAACCUCUUCCCGCCGUUGAAACUGGUGGUCUUGAGUGGAUGAGAAGUACGCGGAAUGCGUGGUGUAGCGGUGAAAUGCAUAGAUAUCACGCAGAACUCCGAUUGCGAAGGCAGCGUACCGGCAUCCAACUGACGCUGAGGCACGAAAGCGUGGUGAUCAAACAGG